AAGUCGUAACAAGGUUUCCGUAGGUGAACCUGCGGAAGGAUCAUUAAAGAGAUAGCUCUGCCCUAACCAGGCAGGAUAGCCCUCCAACCGUGCCUAUAUACUAUGUUGCUUUCCGGGCUCACCCCCGGAGAGGACCAAACCAAACUCUUGAAUUCAUUACUGUCUGAGUACUAUAUAAUAGUUAAAA
rnacentral:misc_RNA from 1 species